GUGUUGAGCAACAAAGAAGAUAGGAAAGGAUCUCUGAGACUGUCACUGUCCAGACAUGAACAAGUGCCCUCAGUGGUAUAGAAGAAAUGGAAAUGGAAACUCUGCUCACCUGGCAUUAAAUUUAAAUGUUUCUCAGCAUGUUUGGCAUUUGGAGCAAAAAGCAGAGUUGAAAAUGAGCACAGCUUCCCCACAGAGCAAGUGCUAUGAGC